AAACAAACUGCAACCCAGAUAGCAAGGUGACAUUGAUAUGAUGUUGAUUUUCCAUCCAAAUCAUCAUUUUGGUUGAGAUUGAAAUCUCAAUGGUAAAUAGACAUUGAAUCAGCAUUACAAUCCUGACAAAAACCCGACAGUGCGUGAAUAUCGAUAAGAGAGAUAUCGAAACAACAUUGGUUUAUAGUUUAUGUUGCCAUAAUCGAUAGAGCAUUGAUACAUAGUUCACUAAAAGAUAUUGAAAAGUCAUGGAUUUGUGGUUGACUGGGAAAUCUAUUGAAAAGUAGUGGAUUUAUAGUUGACCGCGCGACGACGUUUGAACUGUCCAGCAGGAGAUCAUUUUCAGCAACAGUUCAGUCAGACCAACCGGGUGUUCAGCUCUCUGUCAAGUUCACUCCUCCUUAAUGGUGCCACUUCACUCUGCUACUGGAUGGUGGAGGGCUGACUGCAAACGGGUGGUCUAUGAAUGCUAUACUGAAUGGAUAGCAGGGAAGCACACAUGAAUUUCUAAAUGAAGAAGAGUUAAUAAAUGCACUUGAUUUUCAAACUGA